rnacentral:rRNA from 1 species
GAUGAACGCUGGCGGCGUGCCUAAUACAUGCAGGUCGAGCGAACAGACGAGGAGCUUGCUCCCCUGACGUUAGCGGCGGACGGGUGAGUAACACGUGGAUAACCUACCUAUAAGACUGGGAUAACUUCGGGAAACCGGAGCUAAUACCGGAUAAUAUAUUGAACCGCAUGGUUCAAUAGUGAAAGACGGUUUUGCUGUCACUUAUAGAUGGAUCCGCGCCGCAUUAGCUAGUUGGUAAGGUAACGGCUUACCAAGGCAACGAUGCGUAGCCGACCUGAGAGGGUGAUCGGCCACACUGGAACUGAGACACGGUCCAGACUCCUACGGGAGGCAGCAGUAGGGAAUCUUCCGCAAUGGGCGAAAGCCUGACGGAGCAACGCCGCGUGAGUGAUGAAGGUCUUCGGAUCGUAAAACUCUGUUAUUAGGGAAGAACAAAUGUGUAAGUAACUAUGCACGUCUUGACGGUACCUAAUCAGAAAGCCACGGCUAACUACGUG